UUUGGUGAAAUUAAUGUAGGACUUACACUUUGAAAAUGGAACCCAUAAAAAGUGGUGAGACAUACAUUGAUUUCACUCAA
rnacentral:pre_miRNA from 1 species